rnacentral:pre_miRNA from 1 species
UCUUAUGGAUGAGCAAAGAAAGUGGUUUUUUGAUAUGGAAUCUACUCCUUGAGAAGAUGUUUUGAA